UCCUCACAUUGAAAAGUGGAACCCAUACGAUACUCUGGCACUAUGCUUCGAGAAGGAGUCGGUUGCUAUCUUUGGUUAUCUAGCUGUAUGAGUGUUACUCGGCCGUCAUAAAGCUAGCUAACCGAAAGUAGGAAUGUCAUCCAAACUGCGACUCGGACAGUCAUAAAUUGUGUCUGGAAGUAAAGACACAAAAUAACAUAAUUGAUAUGCAAUUACAGCCCAAUACCGCAGUGCCUUUCCGGUUGAUCCAGCGCCCUUGUCACUGCAGUGGCUGCCUGAGAGACACCCAGAAACUCUGCAGUAUGAACAACACAUGCUGUCUACUCAAUGUGACUGCCAGCCAUUCACACCAGGUAUGGAUUGAGCGAGGGGAAAGUGGCACAGUCUUCACAAAAAAAGAGAAAGCAGGAGGGGAAGAAAAAGGCCGACCCCCUUGUCCCUCUUUCCUUAAAUCUCCAUCACCGGAAGCCUUUGGUGCCAUCUGUGCCCCCGGAGAAAAGGACAGGCGAGAUGCCUCCACCCUGUGCCAACGGGGACAAAGGAGCUGCCAGUUAGAGCGGCCCCCCUCGCAGGCAGCCAGAGGACUCUGUGUGACUGACUGGGGCUGAGCUACGGAAGCCAUCUUGAUGGAGAGUCUUGCUGCUGCUCCUAAAAUGGCUGUGUUGGCAUGAGGUCCUGAUGGUGUUGACAACCUCCAGGGGAAGCCUCUUCCAUCCAGCCCUGUGCCCUGAGCCCUGAGCCCUGAGCCCUGAGCCCUGAGCCCUGAGCCCUGAGCCCUGAGCCCUGAGCCCUGAGCCCUGAGCCCUGAGCCCUGAGCCCUGAGCCCUGAGCCCUGACAGUCAGUCUAGAAGCACCAGUGGGAAGAGCAUGUCAGAAGCCAGGAUGUCACGCAAGGCCUUCCUCAUUGGCAUCUUCUCCAGUCAAACACUGAGAAAUGAGGGCACUGAAUAAUCCCCAGUAAAGUUAACAGACAAUGCUUGGAGAGAUUUACUGUAAAGACAAUGUUUGGAGAUAUUUUAAGACAUUGUUUGCAGAAGUUGCACACUGAUUAUCUGCAGAUAUAUUGCACUUUGGGUAAUCAAUGUUAUCUUUGUCCCCGGCUGAGAGUGUAUAGUUUCAACAGAACUUUUAACAUUACAGCAAAAUGUAAAACAAUUUGUGUAUGACGUGAAAUCAAAAAGGGAUGUGAUCAACAUGUGUUCAUACCUUCAUUUAAGGACAGGUGUGUGUGUGCGUAUGUGCUUUGGUGCCUAUUGUACUCUUCAGAGUACUCUGGAGUGUAUUGUGCUUCGGAGCAGCACUCUAGUGCCCUAAUGUGUGGUCUGUUUACAAGAGAAGCUCUCUGGAUGUCUAUCCUCUGUCAUGUGCAAUGAAUCACUUUAUGAUUAGACCUCACUACCCUAUGCAAAUACAUGUGAAUGACUCACCCUCUGGCAGUGUUGCAUGUUUAAUGUUUGACUGUCACAGUGAAAAGAAAGACAUUGUUUGGUGAAGAUUCCAUCCAUUUGCUGUAUAUGCAUCAAAAGCUGCAUUUUUCGUAUUACAAAUAUGAUCUGCAUGUGUUCAUAGUGAUCAGGGAAUGUUCAACAUAAAAUGUGUUGGAUACGGUAUUGAAGCAGUCAGAUUAAUAGCCGUCUCAUUCCCUUAUUAUUAUUAUUAUUAUUAUUAUUAUUAUCAUUAUUCAGAGAGAUAGACUGUUUCAAACAUACGUGCAAUAAAGAAAGUGACACAUACUUGUACACAAACUUCAUACAAAACAUGUUUUUGUAAUUGAGUUCUGACUUGUCAUGACUUCUGUUGCUGUUUGAGUUGAAUGUGUAUACAGAAUAAAUAAUACAACAGAUGUC